rnacentral:rRNA from 1 species
GACAGAGGUCCCGAGCGUUAGGCGGAAUCACUGGGCUUAAAGCGUGUGUAGGCGGAGUGCUAAGUACCUUGUGAAAUCCCACGGCUCAACCGUGGAACUGCUUGGUAUACUGGUUCUCUUGAGCCACCUAGGGGCAACCGGAACAAACGGUGGAGCGGUGAAAUGCGUAGAUAUCGUUUGGAACGCCAAUGGUGAAAACAGGUUGCUGGGGGUGUGCUGACGCUGAGACACGAAAGCCAGGGGAGCAAACAGG